GAAAACGAGGAUACGAUGGCGUAUGAAGAGCUACUAUGGAGGUUAAUAAAAUGACAUUCCUUGUUAAAAUGUAGAAUUCAUGCAGUAAAGCUUUGUAUAGGUCAACGUCUUUGAAUACGAACUAAUUGCUAUACCUAUUCAUAGGAAGAAUCACUGGAUAGAAGUGGUUAGAAUCAUACCAUUCCAUGUCAAAUCUCAUAUCAUUCUGCGGGGUCUAAGUUUUGAAAGUGUGAGUGCAUGACAAACUAUAUUAUAGAUUGUUGACAUUUUCGAGAAGUGUCUCAAUGUUAUCGAUUCGGCGGGAAACACACAUGACGCUGUGUGUGAUUGCAUUAUGUAAUUCUACUGUCAAGAGUUCCAAUUGCAUUAUCAAAUAUUGGCAUGUAAAUAUGUCGUAGACUUUGGUUGUGUGAUGAGCAUAGGAGGAAAUAUGGUACACUGAGUAACAAGGAUUUUUGGCAAAAGAAAUACCUAGUAUCAAAGGUGAGCGGAUGUGUGAGGCUAUAUAUAGAAAAGCCUCAACAGAUCGAUAGUGUCAAUUGCGGUGUUUGGACUUGUGUGGUACGUCUAGGGCUAUAAAUUGAUAAAAGCUAUAGGCCAUGUAUACUGCGAUUUACAGAACAUGAGAGACUACUCUCUUCUCGGGAAGUUGCAAAGACGCAAGAUGAAAAUAAAAACCGUACGACGUUGGCUUUCGUAUCGCCUUCUACACUCAGUCACCAGUUCAUGCGAGUAAGUUGUUGCCUACAGAUGUUGAUGUAUGUACUAAAUUUAGUUGAUUGGAGAGAGACUGUCCCGCUAGCUGUGUAAUUAAUUAAAUGUGCUAGGCGUAUUAUUAAUAUAUAAACAAUAGAGAUCUGUUUAUGGAAUUUCGUGGUAGUUUUUGCUAUCUAUAGACAGUAUCAGCUAGGUAAUAUUGCAAUGCAAAACCUUAUUGUAAUAAAUUGUAGA